rnacentral:rRNA from 1 species
CACCCUACGGGGCGCAGCAGUAGGGAAUCUUCGGCAAUGGGCGAAAGCCUGACCGAGCAACGCCGCGUGAAUGAAGAAGGCCUUCGGGUUGUAAAAUUCUGUUAUAAGGGAAGAAAGGUGAUAGGAGGAAAUGACUAUCAAUUGACGGUACCUUAUGAGAAAGCCACGGCUAACUGCGUGCCAGCAGCCGCGGUAAUACGGAGGAUGCGAGCGUUAUCCGGAUUUAUUGGGUUUAAAGGGUGCGUAGGCGGCCUGUUAAGUUAGUGGUUAAAUGUCGGGGCUAAACCCCGGAUUGCCAUUAAAAC